rnacentral:rRNA from 1 species
GUGGGGAAUCUUGCGCAAUGGGCGAAAGCCUGACGCAGCCAUGCCGCGUGAAUGAUGAAGGUCUUAGGAUUGUAAAAUUCUUUCACCGGGGACGAUAAUGACGGUACCCGGAGAAGAAGCCCCGGCUAACUUCGUGCCAGCAGCCGCGGUAAUACGAAGGGGGCUAGCGUUGCUCGGAAUUACUGGGCGUAAAGGGCGCGUAGGCGGACAGUUUAGUCAGAGGUGAAAGCCCAGGGCUCAACCUUGGAAUUGCCUUUGAUACUGGCUGUCUUGAGUUUGGGAGAGGUGAGUGGAACUCCGAGUGUAGAGGUGAAAUUCGUAGAUAUUCGGAAGAACACCAGUGGCGAAGGCGACUCACUGGCCCAAUACUGACGCUGAGGCGCGAAAGCGUGGGGAGCAAACAGGAUUAGAUACCCUGGUAGUCC